rnacentral:rRNA from 1 species
GAUGAACGCUGGCGGCGUGCCUAAUACAUGCAAGUCGAGCGAACAGAUAAGGAGCUUGCUCCUUUGACGUUAGCGGCGGACGGGUGAGUAACACGUGGAUAACCUACCUAUAAGACUGGAAUAACUUCGGGAAACCGGGGCUAAUGCCGGAUAACAUAUUGAACCGCAUGGUUCUAUAGUGAAAGACGGUUUUGCUAUCACUUAUAGAUGGAUCCGCGCCGUAUUAGCUAGUUGGUAAGGUAACGGCUUACCAAGGCAACGAUGCGUAGCCGACCUGAGAGGGUGAUCGGCCACACUGGAACUGAGACACGGUCCAGACUCCUACGGGAGGCAGCAGUAGGGAAUCUUCCGCAAUGGGCGAAAGCCUGACGGAGCAACGCCGCGUGAGUGAUGAAGGUCUUCGGAUCGUAAAACUCUGUUAUUAGGGAAGAACAAAUGUGUAAGUAACUGUGCACGUCUUGACGGUACCUAAUCAGAAAGCCACGGCUAACUACGUG